AUUGAACGCUGGCGGCAGGCCUAACACAUGCAAGUCGAGCGGCAGCGGGAAAGUAGCUUGCUACUUUUGCCGGCGAGCGGCGGACGGGUGAGUAAUGCCUGGGAAAUUGCCCAGUCGAGGGGGAUAACAGUUGGAAACGACUGCUAAUACCGCAUACGCCCUACGGGGGAGAGCAGGGGACCUUCGGGCCUUGCGCGAUUGGAUGAACCCAGGUGGGAUUAGCUAGUUGGUGAGGUAAUGGCUCACCAAGGCGACGAUCCCUAGCUGGUCUGAGAGGAUGACCAGCCACACUGGAACUGAGACACGGUCCAGACUCCUACGGGAGGCAGCAGGGGGGAAUAUUGCACAGUGGGGGAAACCCUGAUGCAGCCAUGCCGCGUGUGUGAAGAAGGCCUUCGGGUUGUAAAGCACUUUCAGCGAGGAGGAAAGGUUGGUAGCUAAUAACUGCCAGCUGUGACGUUACUCGCAGAAGAAGCACCGGCUAACUCCGUGCCAGCCGCCGCCGUAA
rnacentral:rRNA from 1 species